GUCUACAGCCAUGCUACCCUGAACAAGCCCGAUCCCGUCUGAUCUCAGAAGCUAAGCAGGGUCGGACCUAGUUAGUACUUGGAUGGGAGACCACCUAGGAAGACCAGGCACUGCAGGUG
rnacentral:rRNA from 1 species